rnacentral:rRNA from 1 species
ACGGGAGGCAGCAGUGGGGAAUAUUGGGCAAUGGGGGAAACCCUGACCCAGCAACGCCGCGUGAAGGAAGAAGGCCUUCGGGUUGUAAACUUCUUUUACCAGGGACGAAGAACGUGACGGUACCUGGAGAAAAAGCCACGGCUAACUACGUGCCAGCAGCCGCGGUAAUACGUAGGUGGCAAGCGUUGUCCGGAUUUACUGGGUGUAAAGGGCGUGUAGGCGGAGCUGCAAGUCAGAUGUGAAAUCCCGGGGCUCAACCCCGGAACUGUAUUUGAAACUGUAGCCCUUGAGUAUCGGGGAGGCAAGCGGAAUUCCUAGUGUAGCGGUGAAAUGCGUAGAUAUUAGGAGGAACACCAGUGGCGAAGGCGACUUUCUGGACAGUAACUGACGUUGAGGCACGAAAGUGUGGGGAGCAAACAGGAUUAGAUACCCUGGUA